UUCUCUUCACUAGUAUAUCAAGAACAUAAAACCUUAUAUAAGAAAACUCUACUAAAACAUCAUUUCCAUGCUUUUUCAAUAAUAUCAAACUUAAAAAAAAAUUGAAAUCUUACAUCUAAUAAUCUACUAACUUUCAAAAUUUCAACAUAAAUCAAGUAGUAUUUAUCUCUAGGAUUCCAAAAACUCAAAAAUUACAAGAAAAUGACUUAAUUUAACUUACCAAUUAAACUUCAA
rnacentral:lncRNA from 1 species